CACAGGCCUUGAGGCUUGAGUAAUAAGCUCCUCUCUCUCUCUCUAUCUGACCAGCAGGAGAGGAGGUCCUGUACCAUACGACGCAGAGCUCGGAGGGAGUAAAUUAAUGGAGGUGCACGAGCAUUCUCCCCACAAUGUGGUCAAAUUGCGGGGGUUCACGCCAUCCCCACCAGGGGAUAUGAGCUGUACCGCCUGCCUUGCCAAGAACAACUCCCUCUGCUUUCUCCAUCAACAUGCGAUGCGGUAGUCACGAGUUCAUUUAUUAGACCUGCUCGUCUCUCUCUCUCCCAUAUAUAUACUGAUACAUAUAUAUAUAUAAGCACCACCACCAUGAUCAUCAUGGUCCUGCUGCUGCUUCUCUUCCCGCCGGAAUCUGCAGCGACCUACCGGAGGCUUGGUCCCGCAGCGAUGCAGGCGUUUGCCGUAGAGUCCGGAGACGUUGCUGCCGAAGUGCAUAGAGUAACCAAGAAGCACGAACAAGCCGCGGAAGCCCCCCAGCUGAAGAACUGCUUGCCAAAGGGCUUCCGGCCGCCGCCGUCCGCGCCGAGCCGAUACGUGAAUUCUCACCCUUUUGAGUACUUGUCGUGUGAUUCUCGAACGGCGUCUGAGCCGAGGCAGUGAGGAGAGGAUACGGGUUUAUGACCCUCCCUUUACAGAGGAGGGAUACGGUUUUGUGUAGAUGUUGUCAAAAUCUCAUAGCAAGUGAAAGUUCAUGUUUUUUUAUACAAUAUUCCAUUGUAUAUCAUAUCUUUAUUAAGACAAAGAAGGAAACAUAUCAAAUAUUUGAGUGUAUAAUAUACAAAUCAA